rnacentral:tRNA from 1 species
GGCUCCGUGGCGCAAUGGAUAGCGCGUCGGACUUCUAGUGGUUAUAUAUAUAAUAUAUAUAUAAAAGGUAUUCGGAGGCUGUGGGUUCGAGUCCCACCGGAGUCG